AUUGAACGCUGGCGGCAUGCUUUACACAUGCAAGUCGAACGGCAGCACGAAAGAGCUUGCUCUUUUGGUGGCGAGUGGCGAACGGGUGAGUAAUGCAUCGGAACGUACCGAGUAAUGGGGGAUAACUGUCCGAAAGGAUAGCUAAUACCGCAUACGCUUUGAGAAGGAAAGUGGGGGCUCUUCGGCCCUCACGUUAUUCGAGCGGCCGAUGUCUGAUUAGCUAGUUGGUGGGGUAAAGGCCUACCAAGGCGACGAUCAGUAGCGGGUCUGAGAGGAUGAUCCGCCACACUGGGACUGAGACACGGCCCAGACUCCUACGGGAGGCAGCAGUGGGGAAUUUUGGACAAUGGGCGCAAGCCUGAUCCAGCCAUGCCGCGUGUCUGAAGAAGGCCUUCGGGUUGUAAAGGACUUUUGUUAGGGAAGAAAAGGAUAGUGUUAAUACCAUUAUCUGCUGACGGUACCUAAAGAAUAAGCACCGGCUAACUACGUG
rnacentral:rRNA from 1 species